rnacentral:rRNA from 1 species
GACGAACGCUGGCGGCGUGCUUAACACAUGCAAGUCGAACGAGUGGCGAACGGGUGAGUAACACGUUGGUGACCUGCCCUGCACUCCGGGAUACGCCUGGGAAACUGGGUCUAAUACCGGAUAGUGUGGGAUGGGCCCGCGGCCUAUCAGCUUGUUGGUGGGGUAAUGGCUACUAAGGCGCGACGGGUAGCUGGUCAGAGAGGGUGAUAAGCCACACUGGUACUGAGACACGGCCCAGACUCCUACGGGAGGCAGCAGUGGGGAAUAUUGCACAAUGGACGCAAGCCUGAUGCAGCCAUGCCGCGUGUAUGAAGAAGGCCUUAGGGUUUUAAAGUACUUUCAUUGGGGAGGCGGUACCCGCAGAAGAAGCACCGGCUAACUCCGUGCCAGCAGCCGCGGUAAUAC